UGGGGAAUAUUGGACAAUGGGGGAAACCCUGAUCCAGCAAUGCCGCGUGAGUGAUGAAGGCCUUAGGGUUGUAAAGCUCUUUCGGGUGGGACGAUGAUGACGGUACCACCAGAAGAAGCCCCGGCUAACUUCGUGCCAGCAGCCGCGGUAAUACGAAGGGGGCUAGCGUUGUUCGGAAUUACUGGGCGUAAAGCGCACGCAGGCGGCUCGUUAAAUUAGAAGUGAAAGCCCUGGGCUCAACCCGGGAAUUGCUUUUAAGACUGGCGAGCUAGAAUCCGGAAGAGGGCAGUGGAAUUCCAAGUGUAGAGGUGAAAUUCGUAGAUAUUUGGAAGAACACCAGUGGCGAAGGCGACUGCCUGGUCCGGGAUUGACGCUCAUGUGCGAAAGCGUGGGGAGCAAACAGG
rnacentral:rRNA from 2 species